rnacentral:lncRNA from 12 species
UUCCCGUUGAAGGGCUUGAUAUUUAUUAGCUCGGCGGUGAGCUGGUCAGCGGAGAUCCACGCUCCAGGGGACGAGCCGAGUCCAGCUCCACAGGCCGCUCCACCCUCCUCUGCUCAGACCAACUGGAGCUCCUCCCGGGGCAAUGCUGGCUGGCGCCCGGGGUGCAGGAGGUGGCACCGGGGGCAGCGGGCCCGCGUCUCCCUGCAGGAGCGGGGCUCGGGGCUGUGAAGGAGCCUGGCUGGCCCUCUGGCGGGGAGGCCACCCGGGCCUGCUCAGGACGGGCAGCGAGCUGGGAGCAGAGUGGACGCCAGCCCCAGAGAUGCCCGCAGCCCUCGGGAGCACUCCCUGGAGGACGGCCGCCCCGGCCUCAGCGGCCCAGGAGCAGCUGGUUGGCAAGAGUUCGCUCAGGGAAAUGCCGUCGGUUCCCGUGGAGGCGACAGCACUGCCUCUGACCCAGUGUGGCUCCCCGUUCAGCCUGCCCCCUGGACCUCGGCUCCCAGCCCUGCCAUUUCGGGGGCUGCCCCAGGGCUCGAAGGAUCCAAUGGCAGGAAAGCAUCCUGCAGCUCCUGAAGCUCUAAACUGUCGAGGCUGCGUCGGUGACACGCUUUGGAGCAACGCGGUCCGGGCAGCGCGCAGCAGAAGCCUGAGGUUUUGCCCCAAGAUGUCAGUGUUCUUUUGAGAAAGGCGAGGCCGGUUCAGGAACGUCUGUGGGGUUCCCCCGUGGCUCAACCCCUGCCCCGUGCUUCCCCGCAUGCUCUCCGGCUCAGCCACGCAGACUCGACUCGCGGCUUGAGGAUGACAACUCGGGGCCACCCUGCUCCUUGGGUCAACCCCGGGGCCUCGUCCUGAUUCAGAAACAAGCAUAUUCACUCAUGGGGCUGGAGGUAGGGCCGCCCGGGCGCAGCCACCCACUCCUGCAAAGCGUUCCCCCCCCCGGGACCCGGACACCUCCUGGCCGCAUCGGGGACGAAGCACCGGCCCCCACCUCCCCUGCUGCCGGGUCCCUGCCCAGGCUUUUGGCUGAGGAUGCCCCGACGCGGGCGCCCACCGUGCCUGCGAGCAGCUGCGCGGCCAGGAGGCCCCGAGGGCCCGGCGUCAGCGCUGCACGCACCUGAGCCUCGCACCUGUGCUCUGAUGUGUGCUCCCCGACGAGGCACCAGGGACCGGACCUUCUGCUCCUACAUCCAGGCUCUGACGGGCCGCUCCCUACGCGGGUGACCACGCUAUCUCCCCACUCCCGGCCCACGGCAGGGAUUACUUAAAAUUUGGAUGCUGGGACCUCCGGGGGGCUCAGCGGUGGGCGUCUGCCCUCAGCCCAGGCCGUGACCCGGGGUCUCGGGAUCCAGUCCCGUGUGGGGUCUCUGCGGGGAGCCUGCUUCUCUCUCUGCCUAUGUCUCUGCCUCUCUCUAUAUAUAUCUCAGGAAUAAAUAAUUUUAAAAAUGUAAAACUUAAAAUAAU